rnacentral:rRNA from 1 species
AGAGUUUGAUCCUGGCUCAGAACGAACGCUGGCGGCAGGCUUAACACAUGCAAGUCGAACGCUCGUAGCAAUACGGGAGUGGCAGACGGGUGAGUAACGCGUGGGAACAUACCCUUUGGUUCGGAAUAACUGAGAGAAAUUUCAGCUAAUACCGGAUGUGCCCUAUGGGGGAAAGAUUUAUCGCCAAAGGAUUGGCCCGCGUCUGAUUAGUUAGUUGGUGAGGUAACGGCCCACCAAGGCGACGAUCAGUAGCUGGUCUGAGAGGAUGAUCAGCCACACUGGGACUGAGAUACGGCCCAGACUCCUACGGGAGGUAGCAGUGGGGAAUAUUGGACAAUGGGGGCAACCCUGAUCCAGCCAUGCCGCGUGAGUGAUGAAGGCCUUAGGGUUGUAAAGCUCUUUCGUCAGGGAAGAUAAUGACGGUACCUGAAGAAGAAGCCCCGGCUAACUUCGUGCCAGCAGUCGCGGUAAUACGAAGGGGGCUAGUGUUGUUCGGAAUUACUGGGCGUAAAGCGCACGUAGGCGGACAUUUAAGUCAGGGGUGAAAUUCCAGGGCUUAACCCUGGAACUGCCUUUGAUACUGGGUGUCUUGAGUACGAGAGAGGUGAGUGGAAUUCCGAGUGUAGAGGUGAAAUUCGUAGAUAUUCGGAAGAACACCAGCGGCGAAGGCGGCUCACUGGCUCGUAACUGACGCUGAGGUGCGAAAGCGUGGGGAGUAAAUAGGAUUAGAUACCCUGGUAGUCCACGCUGUAAACGAUGAAUGCCAGCCGUUGGGUGACUUGUCACUCAGUGGCGCAGCUAACGCUUUAAGCAUUCCGCCUGGGGAGUACGGUCGCAAGAUUAAAACUCAAAGGAAUUGACGG